UACAGAGGUCUCAAGCGUUAGGCGGAAUCACUGGGCUUAAAGCGUGUGUAGGUGGGUUUGUAAGUACCUUGUGAAAUCCCAUGGCUCAACCAUGGAACUGCUUGGUAUACUGGCGAUCUUGAGCCACUUAGGGGCAACCGGAACAAAACGGGUGGAGCGGUGAAAUGCGUAGAUAUCGUUUGGAACGCCAAUGGUGAAAACAGCUCGCUGGGGAUGUGCCGAACCGCUGAGAGUACGAA
rnacentral:rRNA from 1 species